AGAAGAGAUCGCUCAGCCAUGACAAGGCCACCAUCACCGCUUCCUUCCUCCUACUUACAAACACCACCAACCACCCAAUUCCACCACCGUAGCUCAGUUUCUCCACACCGUUCUAAAACCUAGCCUAACGCCUCCACCCACGCAUAUACCCAAACAGCCAUGUUUUCCAUGUCUCUUCCCUCAGCUACCGCGCAAAGCCAAACAAAAGCCAACCACUACACCGUUGCCACCUUGCACCAAGAACAACCGUCAUCUAGCCACCUGCUCAAAGGAAACCAAAGAUCUCUAUUUUUAAACAUGAAAACAGAGCAUGUUUUAUGCUCAACCUAUUUCUAUCGAAAGCUGGGCCUGCAACUUGCCACCAGGGCAUCAUGGUCUAGCCGUGAGACACGGUCCCAUGACUUUGCACCACGUCAUCUAGUUAUUUUUGUUACGCUUUCAUCUCGCUAGAAGAUAUACUUCCUCUCGGUCCCUUUCCGAAUAGACUCUCUCUGAACUCCACCACGUGCCACAAAGGAUGCCGCCGUGAGUUCAUCGUUGCCAGUCAUUGGAUUCUUUUUGGUUGGUGCUUGGUUUUCGCUAGGUGAGCAAAUGCUCAAACCUUCUCUCUCUCGCUCAUCUUUUCAUCUCUCUCUCGCACUCUCUCUCAUUUUCAACUUCACCACCCCACACGAUGCCACCGUUGCUGAUCUUGGUUUGACCGCCUGGAGUGGUAGUUGUGUGACCUGCUUAUCUCAGGCGGUGGCCUUUAUUAUUGUUGACGAUCCGUUACGAGACAAGCGUCGUCUCCACGAAUAACCUCCCAUAUGGAGUCCUCAUUACCAAGCUAUUACUGGGCCAGAGUGUGCAACCUAAGGUGGAGGAGUGGAAUAUAGACCAAAUGAGCCCCAUCGACAUUACCACAUAGAUCGAAGCAUUGGACAGAGGAAGGGGCAUGCUCGACAUCAGCCUAGCCUUGUACUUGAUCUUGAUCCUCUGACCCAAGUUGAGCCCUGUGUUGGGAGUACUAGUCAGCCGUCGAAGAGUACAUCUACGGGGGAUGCGUGGCCUCCUUGGGUUCAUGUGGUGAUCUCAGAUCUUACUGUGCAUAUCAACCGGCAGAUCGACAGACAGAUCACAGUUAUAGAGGAGACUGUCGCCCAGAUUUCCCACCGUGUCGAUGUUCUAAACGAGAAGGUCACU